rnacentral:rRNA from 1 species
AACGCGAAGAACCUUACCUACGUUGAACUACGCAGGAAAAGCCAUGGAGACAUGGUGUCCGAAAGGGCCUGCGAUAGGUGGUGCAUGGCUGUCGUCAGCUCGUGUCGUGAGAUGUUGGGUUAAGUCCCGCAACGAGCGCAACCCUUGUCCUAUGUUGCCAGCGGGUAAUGCCGGGGACUCGUAGGAGACUGCCGGGGUCAACUCGGAGGAAGGUGGGGAUGACGUCAAGUCUGCAUGCCCCUUACGCGUAGGGCUGCAAACAUGCUACAAUGGCCGGUACAAAGGGCUGCUAUCCCGCGAGGGGGAGCGAAUCCCAAAAAGCCGGUCUCAGUUCGGAUUGGAGUCUGCAACUCGACUCCAUGAAGUCGGAGUCGCUAGUAAUCCCGGAUCAGCAACGCCGGGGUGAAUACGUUCCCGGGCCUUGUACACACCGCUACAGU